UACGUAGGGGGCGAGCGUUGUCCGAAGUUACUGGGCGUAAAGCGCGCGUAGGCGGGUCUUUAAGUGAGUUGUGAAAGGUUCGGGCUCAACCCGGACACUGCCUUUCAUACUGGGGACCUUGAGUGCGGGAGGGGCGAGUGGAAUGGUCGGUGUAGCGGUGAAAUGCGUAGAUAUCGAUCGGAACACCCAUGGCGAAGGCAGCUCGCUGGCCUGCAACUGACGCUGAGGCGCGAAAGCGUGGGGAGCAAACAGG
rnacentral:rRNA from 1 species